rnacentral:lncRNA from 1 species
CGCCGACUCCCGAGGCCUCUGGCUUGUCCCGCCGUCUGUCCCGCGCCAGCGGAGCAAGACAGGAGCAGCUGGGUACUCCGAAAUGAGCCAGAUGACCCUCACGACUCGAUUGGGCGACUAUCACAGAGGCUUCUCGACAGAAGUCUACCCCUGGGACUGCGCGCUCUCCAUUCUUGAGAAUGCGACAGGACCAGGUGCUCGGGCCGCUAAGAUAAUGGUUUCAAAAUCCUAGUGGGUCCGGAUUCCGGGAAAACUGUGU